rnacentral:rRNA from 1 species
GAACUGAAACAUCUAAGUACCCCGAGGAAAAGAAAUCAACCGAGAUUCCCCCAGUAGCGGCGAGCGAACGGGGAGCAGCCCAGAGCCUGAAUCAGUGUGUGUGUUAGUGGAAGCGUCUGGAAAGGCGCGCGAUACAGGGUGACAGCCCCGUACACAAAAAUGCACAUGCUGUGAGCUCGAUGAGUAGGGCGGGACACGUGGUA